rnacentral:rRNA from 1 species
UGACUGUACAAAGGUAGCAUAAUCAAUAGUCUCUUAAUUGGUGACUUGAAUGAAAGAUUGGAUGAAAUAUAUACUGUCUCUUUAAUAAUAAUAGAAUUUAAUUUUUUAAUUAAAAAGUUAAAAUAAAUUUAAAAGACGAGAAGACCCCAUAGAGUUUUAUAUAUUUGUUAAUUAAUAUUAUUUAUAAAUUAAUAAAAUUAAAAUUAAUUUGAUAUAUUAUAUUGGGGUGAUAAAAAAAUUUAUUUAACUUUUUUUUUUAAAUUAACAUAAAUAAGUGACUAAUAAUGAUCCAAAAUUUUUGAUUAUAAGAUAAAAUUACCUUGGGGAUAACAGCGUAAUUUUUUUUUUUAGUUCGAAUAAAAAAAAAAGUUUGCGACCUCGAUGUUGGAUUAAGAUAAAAUUUAAAUGCAAAAGUUUAAAAUUUUGAUCUGUUCGAUCAUUAAAAUCUU